UACGGGGGGGGCAAGCGUUGUUCGGAAUUACUGGGCGUAAAGGGCUCGUAGGCGGCCAACUAAGUCAGACGUGAAAUCCCUCGGCUUAACCGGGGAACUGCGUCUGAUACUGGAUGGCUUGAGUUUGGGAGAGGGAUGCGGAAUUCCAGGUGUAGCGGUGGAAAUGCGCAGAUAUCAGGAGGAACACCGGUGGCGAAGGCGGGUCUCUGGGCCGAGUACUGACGCUGAGGAGCGAAAGCGUGGGGAGCGAACAGG
rnacentral:rRNA from 1 species